GACGAACGCUGGCGGCGUGCCUAAUACAUGCAAGUCGAACGCAGUGGGGACGGGUGAGUAACACGUGGGUAACCUCCCAUCAGAGGGGAUAACACUUGGAAACAGGUGCUAAACCGAUACUGAUGGAUGGACCCCCGGUGCAUUAGCUAGUGGGUGAGGUAACGGCUCACCAAGGCCACGAGGCAUAGCCGCCCGGAGAGGGGUGUCGGCCACACUGGUACUGGGCCACGGCCCAGACUCCUACGGGGGGCAGCAGUAGGGAAUCUUCGGCAAGGGACGAAGGUCUGACCGAGCAACGCCGCGGGAGUGAAAAGGGUUUGCGGGUCGUAAGACUCUGUUGUUGAGAAGACGGUAACUAACCAGAAAGCCGCGGCUAACUACGUGCCAGCAGCCGCGGUAAUAC
rnacentral:rRNA from 1 species